rnacentral:rRNA from 1 species
GACGAACGCUGGCGGCGUGCUUAACACAUGCAAGUCGAACGGAAAGGCCCUGCUUUUGUGGGGUGCUCGAGUGGCGAACGGGUGAGUAACACGUGAGUAACCUGCCCUUGACUUUGGGAUAACUUCAGGAAACUGGGGCUAAUACCGGAUAGGAGCUCCUGCUGCAUGGUGGGGGUUGGAAAGUUUCGGCGGUUGGGGAUGGACUCGCGGCUUAUCAGCUUGUUGGUGGGGUAGUGGCUUACCAAGGCUUUGACGGGUAGCCGGCCUGAGAGGGUGACCGGCCACAUUGGGACUGAGAUACGGCCCAGACUCCUACGGGAGGAAGAAGUGGGGAAUAUUGCACAAUGGGCGGAAGCCGGAUGCAGCAACGCCGCGUGCGGGAUGACGGCCUUCGGGUUGUAAACCGCUUUCGCCUGUGACGAAGCGUGAGUGACGGUAAUGGGUAAAGAAGCACCGGCUAACUACGUG